AGCGAGUGCGCCUGCCCUUCUGCUGGGCAGCCCUCAGCCUGGGUCUCCUCUCCCUGACACUCCUGCUGGCACAGAUCAUCCUUGUCAGCCUGAGUUUCCAGUAUUUAGUGCAACAACAGAGAAGCUGCACAGACGGUCUCUGGAGAAUGGAGGAGAGCCCCAGCUAUGGGAAACAGACACUGGGAGGCGUUCCUGGUGCGCACAGCUAACAUGGACGCCUUCCACGUGGGGCUGAAGCAGGAUGGCUUCAGGUCUGACUGGAAGUGGCUGGAUGGCACCACGCUGGAAUGGAUCUUGCCAGUCCAGCGCUACACCAGGUCCUUCCAGGCUUGUGGCAGGGUGUCAGGCUUGGGACUUUUUAGGUGGUGCCUGCACAGACGCCCUCAGAUGGGUCUGCAAGCAGAGUGCAGCCACCGUGCAGUGGCUCCAGUCCUCGCCUCCUGCCUUCCUCUGGGGAAACACCACCUACAGCUGCGUGAGGCCCUGAUGGCCAGGGUGACCCCCAGCCUGUGCCACCACCCCGUUCCCUGCCUGAUCCCAGGGCAUGGGCAUUCUCAGGCUCCGCUGCUUCCUGGCACAGACUUCUUUACCCUCCAGAACUCUGCACUUUGCCAAUAAACUCUGCUGAUA
rnacentral:lncRNA from 1 species